rnacentral:rRNA from 1 species
GAAUCAACGCUGGCGGCGUGCCUCAGACAUGCAAGUCGAACGCGAAAGGCUCCUUCGGGGCCGAGUAGAGUGGCGCACGGGUGAGUAACACGUAGGUAAUUUGCCUUUGGGUGGGGAAUAACUCAGGGAAACUUGAGCUAAUACCGCAUAAUGCAGCGGCUCGACAUCGAGACAGUUGUUAAAGCGGGGGAUCGCAAGACCUCGCGCCUGAAGAGAAGCCUGCGGCAGAUUAGCUAGUUGGUAGGGUAAUGGCCUACC